AUUGAACGCUGGCGGCAGGCUUAACACAUGCAAGUCGAGCGGGGUGAUGGUGCUUGCACUAUCACUUAGCGGCGGACGGGUGAGUAAUGCUUAGGAAUCUGCCUAUUAGUGGGGGACAACAUCUCGAAAGGGAUGCCAAUACCGCAUACGUCCUACGGGAGAAAGCAGGGGAUCACUUGUGACCUUGCGCUAAUAGAUGAGCCUAGGUCGGAUUAGCUAGUUGGUGGGGUAAAGGCCUACCAAGGCGACGAUCUGGAGCGGGUCUGAGAGGGUGAUCCGCCACACUGGGACUGAGACACGGCCCAGACUCCUACGGGAGGCAGCAGUGGGGAAUAUUGGACAAUGGGGGGAACCCUGAUCCAGCCAUGCCGCGUGUGUGAAGAAGGCCUUAUGGUUGUAAAGCACUUUAAGCGAGGAGGAGGCUCUUUUGGUUAAUACCCAAGAUGAGUGGACGUUACUCGCAGAAUAAGCACCGGCUAACUCUGUGCCAGCCGCCGCAGUAA
rnacentral:rRNA from 1 species